rnacentral:lncRNA from 1 species
ACCUAGGACACUUUCUGUCCAGCUCCACCUGCAAGAACAGCCUUCAGAGAAAAGCAAUCAGCAAAAAGGAAUCUAACAUGGAUGUUCCUGGCAGAGAGUGAGGGCUCUGCAAUGUUGUGAGUCCUGGAGACCGCCCCAUUACUCUUCAGCUGCAAGUGACAGUUAAUGUAUUACCUUUCCUCACCUGGCUGCUCUGUGAGUUUCAUUCCAUAGCAGGAGACUGUGGCACCAUUGUGAUAUCAGAGGCCUGGGGAAGAUCCAGAUGAUGAGUUAAUAGUCUCCAUUCAUGCUUCUCCGCGUCUGUGAAGUAGGUUUUAUCAGCCAUUUUGCUGGGUUUUAAGAUUGGCUUCCCUUCUGUCUUCUGAAGGUUGAUUAGAAAUUGGAGGCUGUGGUACAGGAACCCUGACUGUACCUGAGGAUGCCAAGCACUCUUCAAGGCAGCACGUCUGCCCGCAAUCAGAAGGGAUCACUCUCCCACACCUCCUCCCAUCCUUUCUUUGGCUCCUGCACAGACUCUUGCUAUAAACGCAGACGGGGAAGCUGCAGUGCUGGGCUGGAGGGCCAGGCUUGGAGGAACUGUCAACUCGGUUUCUCUUUGGGCCCAGUAAUCCUCAGUGUCCUCUCUUAGGACAUCCCUGCAAGGAACCAGCCUGGAAAUCAGCUGGUUCUCAUGAUGAACCCUCAGACCUUCCACUUGUUCUCGUGAAGUCUCCCCUGAUUGCUCAAAGAUUUCUGCCCCUUCCUGAAUGAAACAUUUCCACUCAUCACUUUUUUUUUUAACAGUGAAUCAAGUUUUGGCCUUAUUCCAGGAAAUCAUCUAUUUAUUGGUGUGCAUUUAUUAAUUUUUAAAGAGCAUUUUCUUGAGCAACUACUAGAAAAAAAUUUGGCGGUUUGACUCCAGCAUGAGUUGUCCUCUGGUUGAACUUCAGAGUCACCUGAGGAGGCUUGAAGGGUACACCCAGACCCUGGGCUCUCCCAGGAGGCUGAUAGAGUCAUGCUGAUGUGGUAAUGAAUAGCAUCUUAUUUUAUGGAUGUCUGAGUCCCUCUUUAACCAUGGCCACGUAAUUGGAAAUGGGUAUUUUCACCUUUA